GUGGGAAGGAGGCUUGUUUAAACUACGGAUGCUGUUCAAAGACGAUUAACCAUCCUCACCUCCGAAAUGCAAGUUUGAACCACCGUUAUUUCAUCCGAACGUGUACCCCUCGGGCACAGUGUGCCUGUCCAUCCUGGAGGAGGACAAGGACUGGAGGCCGGCCAUCACGAUUAAGCAGAUCUUAUUAGGAAUACAGGAACUUCUAAAUGAACCAAAUAUCCAAGACCCAGCUCAAGCAGAGGCCUACACGAUCUACUGCCAAAACAGAGUGGAAUACGAGAAAAGGGUUCGAGCACAAGCCAAGAAGUUUGCUCCCUCAUAAGCAGCGACCUGUGGCAUCAUAAAAAGGAAGGGAUUGGUGUGGCAAGAACUUGUUUACAACAUUUUUGCAAAUCUAACGUUGCUCUCUACAAUUACUGGUCACCUGGGGAGGGUUGGGCGGGCGCCAUUUUCCAUUUCCGCCACUGGUACAGUCUCGGCUCGCUGAAUCGCCCAGUUUUUCAUACAGGGUCUCUUCCUUCAGUCUUUUGUAUUUUUGAUUGUUAUGUAAAACUUGCUUUUAUUUUAAUAUUGAUGUCAGUAUUUCAACUGCUGUAAAAUUAUAAACUUUUAUACUUCAAUGAG